UGAAGGUAUAGAUGAAUGUUAGGAUGUGUGAAGGCAUAGAUGAAUGUUAUGAUGUGUGAAAGUAUGGAUGAAUGUUAGGAUGUGAAGGUAUAGAUUAAUGUUAGGAUGUUAAAGCAUAGAGGAAUGAUAGGAUGUGGAUGCAUAGAUGAAUGGCUUAGUAUAUAUUAAUGUAAGGAUGUUAAGGUAUAGAUGAAUGUUAAAAUGUGAAGCUGUGAAUGAAUGUUAGGAUGUGUGUACGCAUAGAUGAAUGUUAGGAUGUGAAGGUAUAGAUGAAUGUUAGGAUGUGAAGGUAUAGAUGAAUGUUAGGAUGUGUGAUGGCAUAGAUUAAUGGCUUAGCAUAGAUGAAUGAAUGUAAGGAUGUUAAGGGAUAUAUGAAUGUUAAAAUGUUAAUGUAUAGAUGAAUGUCUUAGGGUGUGUAAGCAUAGAUGAAUGUCUUAUAUUAGGAUGUGAAGUAUGAAUGAAUGUUAGGAAGUGUAGAUAAUGUAGGGGUGUGAAUAUAUAGAUGAAUGUUAGGAUGUGAAGUCAUAUUAUUUAUGUCUUAAGGAGUGAAAUAGCUAAUGGAUGAUGUGAAUAGAAGUGAAAUGACAAUGCGCAAAAAGGCUAAUCAACAUGCCAAAAAUAAAAUAAAAAACAUUAAUGCAAAAGUACGAUCAAUCAAUAAUUUCUACAAUAUUGUACAACGGGCGGAUUUGUGAAUUUUUUUCCGG
rnacentral:lncRNA from 1 species